CCCUUAGAUGUUCGGGGCCGCACGCGCGCUACACUGAUGCAUUCAACAAGCCUAGCCUUGACCGAGAGGUCCGGGUAAUCUUUGAAACUGCAUCGUGAUGGGGCUAGAUUAUUGCAAUUAUUAAUCUUCAACGAGGAAUGCCUAGUAAGCGUGAUUCAUCAAAUCGCGUUGAUUACGUCCCUGCCCUUUGUACACACCGCCCGUCGCUCCUACCGAUUGAAUGUGUUGGUGAGGAGCUCGGAUUGGCAGCAGUUGGUGGUUCGCCACCGGCUAUUGCUGAGAAGUCCUCCAAACCGCCCCAUUUAGAGGAAGGAGAAGUCGUAACA
rnacentral:rRNA from 1 species